GUCGAACGCUUUGUCUUUAACUGAUAUGAAGAGCUUGCUCUGAUUUGAUUUUCUCUGACAAAGAGUGGCGAACGGGUGAGUAACACGUGGGUAACCUACCUCUUAGCAGGGGAUAACAUUUGGAAACAAGUGCUAAUACCGUAUAAUACCAACAACCGCAUGGUUGUUGGUUGAAAGAUGGUUCUGCUAUCACUAAGAGAUGGACCCGCGGUGCAUUAGCUAGUUGGUAAGGUAACGGCUCACCAAGGCAAUGAUGCAUAGCCGAGUUGAGAGACUGAUCGGCCACAAUGGGACUGAGACACGGCCCAUACUCCUACGGGAGGCAGCAGUAGGGAAUCUUCCACAAUGGGCGCAAGCCUGAUGGAGCAACGCCGCGUGUGUGAUGAAGGGUUUCGGCUCGUAAAACACUGUUAUAAGAGAAGAACGGCACUGAGAGUAACUGUUCAGUGUGUGACGGUAUCUUACCAGAAAGGAACGGCUAAAUACGUGCCAGCAGCCGCGGUAAUACGUAUGUUCCAAGCGUUAUCCGGAUUUAUUGGGCGUAAAGCGAGCGCAGACGGUUAUUUAAGUCUGAAGUGAAAGCCCUCAGCUCAACUGAGGAAUGGCUUUGGAAACUGGAUGACUUGAGUGCAGUAGAGGAAAGUGGAACUCCAUGUGUAGCGGUGAAAUGCGUAGAUAUAUGGAAGAACACCAGUGGCGAAGGCGGCUUUCUGGACUGUAACUGACGUUGAGGCUCGAAAGUGUGGGUAGCAAACAGGAUUAGAUACCCUGGUAGUCCACACCGUAAACGAUGAGUGCUAGAUGUUCGAGGGUUUCCGCCCUUGAGUGUCGCAGCUAACGCAUUAAGCACU
rnacentral:rRNA from 1 species